rnacentral:rRNA from 1 species
GAUGAACGCUGGCGGCGUGCCUAAUACAUGCAAGUCGAGCGAACGGACGAGAAGCUUGCUUUUCUGAUGUUAGCGGCGGACGGGUGGGUAACACGUGGAUAACCUACCUAUAAGACUGGGAUAACUUCGGGAAACCGGAGCUAAUACCGGAUAAUAUUUUGAACCGCAUGGUUCAAAAGUGAAAGACGGUCUUGCCGUCACUUAUAGAUGGAUCCGCGCUGCAUUAGCUAGUUGGUAAGGUAACGGCUUACCAAGGCAACGAUGCAUAGCCGACCUGAGAGGGUGAUCGGCCACACUGGAACUGAGACACGGUCCAGACUCCUACGGGAGGCAGCAGUAGGGAAUCUUCCGCAAUGGGCGAAAGCCUGACGGAGCAACGCCGCGUGAGUGAUGAAGGUCUUCGGAUCGUAAAACUCUGUUAUUAGGGAAGAACAUAUGUGUAAGUAACUGUGCACAUCUUGACGGUACCUAAUCAGAAAGCCACGGCUAACUACGUGC